rnacentral:lncRNA from 1 species
AGAUGACGUUGUCCAGAACGAUCAAGCCCCACAAAGCUAAGGAGACUGCUGAUCUUUCAAGGCACCUGGGGAUGUGAGAAAAGGAACGAACGGUUCUCUAACACCGACACAAAACCAGUGCCUAUUAAAUGAAAAGAGAUGAUGGAGUAUCACCUGUGCACAGACUCCAGUUCUCAGAAGUAAUACCUCACAUUUAAAGGACCAGAAGCCUUUCCAUUUGCAGGAAAAGAACUUACCCCCAAAAGGCCUCAAAAACGAGAAAUCAAUCAUGUGGCUAACUGCAUUUAAACAUGGCUAUUUCCAGACAGGUUUUAAUAUAAACAAAACUCAAAAAUAGGACCUUGGUGAAAUUAAAAUGUUCUUUCUUUUUUGGUUGAUUUAAAAAUGAUUAUUUUAUAUCAGUAAGUAACCAAAACAUUGUGCUGUUUCAACCAGGAAAUAAGCAGAAAUACUUAUUUCUGAUGGGACGUAAACGUCAUUAUGAUUAUGCUCUU